GUGUCAGCCGCCGCGGUAAUACAGAGGGUGCAAGCGUUAAUCGGAAUUACUGGGCGUAAAGGGUGCGUAGGUGGUUUGUUAAGUCAGGCGUGAAAUCCCUGGGCUCAACCUGGGAACUGCGUUUGAUACUGGCAGACUCGAGUCUGGUAGAGGGUAGUGGAAUUCCGCAUGUAGCGGUGAAAUGCGUAGAUAUGCGGAGGAACAUCAGUGGCGAAGGCGGCUACCUGGACCAAGACUGACACUGAGGCACGAAAGCGUGGGGAUCAAACAGGAUUAGAAACCCUAGUAGUCC
rnacentral:rRNA from 1 species